rnacentral:rRNA from 1 species
GUCCUUUUGAGAUUAAUUUAAGGUUUGACCUGCCCACUGAUUUAUUGAAGGGCCGCAGUAUUUUGACUGUGCAAAGGUAGCAUAAUCAUUAGUUUUUUAAUUGAAAGCUUGUAUGAAGGGUUGGACGAGGUAAAUUCUGUCUCUAAUUAAUUUAAUAUAGAAUUUAAUUUUUAAGUUAAAAAGCUUAAAUUAUUUUAAAAGACGAGAAGACCCUAUAGAUCUUUAUAUUUUAUUAAUUAAUUUUAUUUAAGAUUAUUAAAUUUUUUAUUUAAUAAAAUAUUUUAUUGGGGUAAUAGAAAGAUUAAAUUAAUUCUUUUUAAAAUUUCACAUUUAUGAAUGAUUUAGUGAUCCAAUAUUAUUGAUUAUAAGAUUAAGUUACCUUAGGGAUAACAGCGUAAUUUUUUUUGAGAGUUCAUAUCGAUAAAAAAGUUUGCGACCUCGAUGUUGGAUUAAAAAUUAUUUUAGGUGUAGAAGCUUAAAUUUUUGGUCUGUUCGACCAUUAAAUUUUUACAUGAUCUGAGUUCAGACCGGCGUAAGCCAGGUCGGUUUCUAUCUUUAAUAAAGUUUUAUAUUUUAGUACGAAAGGACCAAAUAUAAUAUAUAUUUAUAUUUAAAUUUUUUGAAGGU